rnacentral:lncRNA from 1 species
CACAAUGUGGGUCAGUGCUGUGUCGAACCGUCUGUCCUCAAACGCAGGAAGAUGAGUUAACCCUGGGAAAUUGAACAGCACCAUCACAACUGAAAAUGAUACUGCAGGCUGAGACAAAUAGCUGCCAUUCUAGAACUUAAUUCCAAUGAACACUAUAACACCACUACCACAGCACCACCACCACAUAUGGACAACUCCAUUAUCGGGUUCCUUCGACUUGAGGCAGCGAACACUCCUCGGGGUCAGAGAACAGGUCGAAGGGGGAGUCACGGACGAGUUCGGACUCUCCAAGUCCCCUUUGAU